AUAAUUAACGUAUAUUUAUUUUAUUUAUUUUUAUACGUUUUAAAUAUUUCAACGAUUUAUGAAAUUAAAAUAAUUUUAGAAUUUGAUGUUGAAAAUAAUUUGAAUUACGAAAACACGAUUGAAUUUAGAAAACAAUCCUAAGUGGUGUUGAAUUCAAAUACCAAACUUAAUUCUAAUCCUAGCCCAAUUUGAUAUAGCCCAAUUUGAUAAAGCUCAAAACAAAUAACCCAUAAACCCAAAUCCUUGUUUCAAUACUCACGUGAAACUCAACUCCCCUUCUCUUCUCCCCAUUCACGUGUUCACGUAAAAAUCACAAAAAUCUCAAACCCUCCUCCUUGCUCUCAGCCGUCGGACCUCUGCUGCGCCACCACUCCUCCGUCGUCGCGACAGCCACCACUGCACGCUACCACCAGCCACCUUCGUCGUUCCUCCACGCGACACCGCCCACCUGCAGCGUCGUUGCUGCGCUGCCGGCCAUCAAUUCUCCCCUUCCUCUCUGUCGCAGGCUACCACCACAAGCGCACACAACAUCACCACCGUUGCCCGACCACCUAUAGCCACCAGCCGCGUCGCCUAGCGCCGACGACCACCCACCUGCCGCGCCGCCCUGCCGCCGGCAACACUCCUUUUAUUCCCUCUCUUUUUGGCGGAGAAUUUUCUUUAGGCGAUAUUUGAAAGUGUUAAAGUGGCCUAUUAGUUGUUUAUACAAGUCUCUAAGGAUCAAUAAUCGUUGCCCAUCUACAGGUUUGAAGAUGAUGCAUCAUUGGGAUCGGGAUUAGAGAGCUUGUAGUUAUAUUUGUUUUAUUAAGUGAUUUGGUUUGUUAACUUAUAUUUGAAAGUUGUCGUACUAUUCGUAUUUCCUUAUUUCCGUUAAUUGGUUUUGGACUUAAUAUGUAAUCGAUUAUUUAUGAACCUAAAAGUUAGUUUUAUGUUUUCCGCUGCAAAAUUCUGAAUAAGCCGUACGUUUUCACACGGGCGAUAAUGCCUUGAUAAUUCUCUAUAGUUAUAUUUAUAAAAGGGUUGUUUUAGAAAAAGGGAAUUGUCGGGGUGUUGCAAAGUGGUAUCUAGAAGCUAAGGUUUUACUUUAACAAUUUUUUUUAGGCGCCUAACUAUCUAGUUAUUUAAAAUAAAUUUCUUAAAAAUCGAGCUUCUACGUAUUAUAGUGUUCAAAAAUUGGUACUUUUUUUUGGGGGGCCGAUUUCCUUUUAUCUUGUUUGAAAGUAUAUAAUAUUUCUUAUUUAAGUUCGGAAUUAACUUAUUUAUUCGAAACUUUUCGUUUAUGUGAAUUAAGUACGUUUUUCUUUAUUUUCGAAAUUAAAUUAAAUAUAUUCGAAAAAAAUAAAAUAAAAAUCUUAUUCCUUAAGUAUAUUUAUUCGUUUAAUAUUUAUUCGUUUAAUAAAUAUUUAUUCGUUUAUUAUUUAUUCGUUUAAUA